AUCAGAAGAGGCAAAAGCAGAGAGAGUGAAAGAUGGAGAAGUAGGACAAGUGCGGUCAGACGUCGACAGCGAAGCAGCUAAAAUUCGACCCAGAACGGAGGGAGGAUGGAAUAGAAGAGAGGAUGUCGGUCGCACAUGUCUUUCUUUUUUUCAUCCACAAUCGCUGACCUGAAGGCCACGGACAAACACUGCUUUGAACCUUUUUUCUCAGCAAGUGGACAAACUGAUAUUUUGGAUCCUCUCCCAGCGCUUGGUGGCUUGAAACUUAAAUCACUAAAUCAGCUCUGCACCAACUGCCACACAACCAGGCGAUGCACCUGCCUCUUCAAGAAUGAGUUGUGGAUGGACAUCACGCCCCUGACCUCCAAACAUCAGCGAGGGACAGACCGCCAUGGAUGGGAUCAAACUCAGCGGCUCUGAGGAUGGAAAAGUGAAGCGCAGAAAGACAAACAGAGAGAGGGAGAGUGCUAUUGAACGAGGCAGAGAGUGUGAGUUUAUGUAAAUCUAAAGCCUUCAAGAAACUCAUCUUACAUUUUUGCAAGACAUCCUGAAGGUUUUGUUAAUAAGACUGAUUUUAAGAUUUCAUGCUCUAGAAGCUUUUCAUCAAAGUUUCUUAAACUUAGUUUUAAUAGAAUAUUGCAUUUAUGUUGAGAAAAAGCUAACUAUUUUUCCUGGCAACAAGUACAGGAAGUGAAGAGGAAGUCACCUGAUUUGCCUAAAUACAAUCUAACGUAAACAUCACCUUUGCAUCUAUGCUAAGCUCAUAUUUUUUUCAAAAAGGAAAAGUCUUUUGAAACCAUUAAUGUUUCUCAUUACAAAAGAUGUGAUCCAGCUUGCAUCAGUUGAGAGUGAAAAUUAACUCCAAUUAAUUGAAUAUCUGUUAACUUUAAGUGUUUCUUUCACACAGGUGUCAUGUCUAAUUGUUUCUACACAUCUUGCUCUGCAGAUCAGGAGAGUCCCCAUUUUGGACUCUCAGCUUUUUGCUGCACCUCAGACAAACUCAAAAAGCAAAAAGCUUCACCUCAGCUGAAUGUGUCCUUCUCACACUUCAGCACUGAAAUCUAAAGCAGGUCUUGCUAAAUUUGCACUGGAAAGGGUAAAGUGACA